UUGCCCAGGCUGGUCUUGAACAACU
rnacentral:piRNA from 1 species